CCUACGGGUGGCUGCAGUGAGGAAUAUUGGUCAAUGGGAGGAAUCCUGAACCAGCCAUGCCGCGUGCAGGACGACGGCUCUACGAGUUGUAAACUGCUUUUGUACCGGGGUAAAAUGCUCUACGAGUAGGGUUUUGAAAGUACGGUACGAAUAAGGAUCGGCUAACUCCGUGCCAGCAGCCGCGGUAAUACGGAGGAUCCGAGCGUUAUCCGGAUUUAUUGGGUUUAAAGGGUGCGUAGGCUGUGAGGUAAGUCAGCGGUGAAAUGCCCCCGCUCAACGGGGUGAAGUGCCAUUGAUACUGCCUUGCUGGAAUGCGGAUGCCGUGGGAGGAAUGUGUGGUGUAGCGGUGAAAUGCAUAGAUAUCACACAGAACACCGAUUGGGAAGGCAUCUCACGAAUCCGCGAUUGACGCUGAUGCACGAAAGCGUGGGUAUCAAACAGGAUUAGAUACCCUAGUAGUC
rnacentral:rRNA from 1 species